rnacentral:rRNA from 1 species
GACGAGGGGUCCAAGCGUUGUUCGGAAUCAUUGGGCGUAAAGCGGGUGUAGGUGGCUCUGUAAGUCAGAAGUGAAAGCCCCAGGCUUAACUUGGGAAGUGCUUUUGAUACUGCUGAGCUUGAAUGUGGGAGAGGAUCGUGGAAUUCCAGGUGUAGUGGUGAAAUACGUAGAUAUCUGGAGGAACACCGGUGGCGAAGGCGGCGAUCUGGCCCAACAUUGACACUGAGACCCGAAAGCAUGGGGAUCAAACAGG